rnacentral:rRNA from 1 species
CUGUCUCGGCCAUGAGCUCGGUGAAAUUGUAGUAUCGGUGAAGAUGCCGAUUACCCGCAAUGGGACGAAAAGACCCCGUGAACCUUUACUAUAGCUUAGUAUUGGCUUUGGAUAAGUAAUGUGUAGGAUAGGUGGGAGACUAUGAAGUGGCGUCGCUAGGCGUUGUGGAGUCAUUGUUGAAAUACCACCCUUUGCUUAUCUGAUGCCUAAUUCCUAACGGAAGACAGUGCUUGGUGGGUAGUUUGACUGGGGUGGUCGCCUCCAAAAGAGUAACGGAGGCUUCUAAAGGUUCCCUCAGCACGCUUGGUAACCGUGCGUAGAGUGCAAUGGCAUAAGGGUGCUUGACUGAGAGACCUACAAGUCGAUCAGGUUGGAAACAAGAGCAUAGUGAUCCGGUGGUUCCGCAUGGAAGGGCCAUCGCUCAAAGGAUAAAAGGUACUCCGGGGAUAACAGGCUGAUCUCCGCCAAGAGCUCAUAUCGACGGGGGGGUUUGGCACCUCG